GCCGGCGUAGCUCAAUUUGGCCGAGCGGCUGAUUUGUAAUCAGCAGGUUAUGGGUUCAAGUCCCUUCGCCGGCUCCA
rnacentral:tRNA from 1 species